rnacentral:tRNA from 1 species
AUUUAUAUAGUUUAUAAAACAUUACACUUUCACUGUAAAAAAAUAAUAUUUAUUAUUAUUAUAAAUA